CGGUCCAGACACCUACGGGUGGCAGCAGUCGAGAAUUUUUCUCAAUGGGGGAAACCCUGAAGGAGCGACGCCGCGUGGGGGAUGAAUGGCUUCGGCCUGUAAACCCCUGUCAUUUGCGAACAAUCCCGUUUGUUUAAUAAACAAACGGUUGCUAGUAGCGAAAGAGGAAGGGACGGCUAACUCUGUGCCAGCAGCCGCGGUAAUACAGAGGUCCCAAGCGUUGUUCGGAUUCACUGGGCGUAAAGGGUGCGUAGGUGGCCAGGUAAGUUUGAUGUGAAAUCUCCGAGCUUAACUCGGAAAGUGCAUUGAAUACUAUCUGGCUCGAGGGUUGGAGGGGAGACUGGAAUUCUCGGUGUAGCAGUGAAAUGCGUAGAUAUCGAGAGGAACACCAGUGGCGAAGGCGAGUCUCUGGACAACACCUGACACUGAGGCACGAAAGCUAGGGGAGCAAACAGGAUUAGAUACCCUGGUAGUCCUAGCUGUAAACGGUGCACAUUUGCUGUAAGAGGAAUCGACCCCUUUUGUGGCGAAGCUAACGCGUUAAAUGUGCCGCCUGGGGAGUACGGUCGCAAGAUUAAAACUCAAAGAAAUUGACGGGGGCCUGCACAAGCGGUGGAGUAUGUGGCUCAAUUCGAUUCAACGCGAAGAACCUUACCUGGCCUUGACAUGUACGUAGUAGAAGGAUGAAAGUCUGACGAGUGUAGCAAUACACAGCGUACACAGGUGCUGCAUGGCUGUCGUCAGCUCGUGUCGUGAGAUGUUGGGUUAAGUCCCGCAACGAGCGCAACCCCUGUGUCCAGUUGCCACCCAGACGAGAGUUUGGAGCACUCUGGACAGACUGCCUCGCUUAAACGAGGAGGAAGGUGGGGAUGACGUCAAGUCAGUAUGGCCCUUACGGCCAGGGCUGCACACGUACUACAAUGCCCGGCACAGAGGGAAGCAAGACCGCAAGGUGGAGCAAAUCCCAGAAAACCGGGCCCAGUUCAGAUUGUCGGCUGCAACUCGCCGACAUGAAGCUGGAAUCGCUAGUAAUGGCGCAUCAGCUACGGCGCCGUGAAUACGUUCCCAGGCCUUGUACACACCGCCCGUCACAUCAUGAAAGCCGUUUGUACCCGAAGUCGCCGUGUUAACCGCAAGGAGACAGGCGCCGAAGGUAUGGAUGGUGAUUGGGAUGAAGUCGAAACAAGGUAGCCGUAGGGGAACCUGCGGCUG
rnacentral:rRNA from 1 species